rnacentral:rRNA from 1 species
AGAAUCAACGCUGGCGGCGUGCCUAACACAUGCAAGUCGAACGAGAAAGUGGAGCAAUCCAUGAGUAAAGUGGCGCACGGGUGAGUAACACGUGACUAACCUACCCUUGAGUGGGGGAUAACCUAGGGAAACCUGGGCUAAUACCGCAUAAUACCUUCGGGUCAAAGGAGCAAUUCGCUUAAGGAGGGGGUCGCGGCCGAUUAGUUAGUUGGCGGGGUAAUAGCCCACCAAGACUGUGAUCGGUAUCCGGCCUGAGAGGGCGCACGGACACACUGGAACUGAAACACGGUCCAGACUCCUACGGGAGGCAGCAGUGGGGAAUUUUGCGCAAUGGGGGAAACCCUGACGCAGCAACGCCGCGUGGAGGAUGAAGCCCCUUGGGGCGUAAACUCCUUUCGAUCGGGACGAUUAUGACGGUACCGGAAGAAGAAGCCCCGGCUAACUUCGCGCCAGCAGCCGC